rnacentral:misc_RNA from 2 species
ACACCUCAACUCUCAUGGUUUGCCAUGAUGAGCUUGGACUUUGGGGGUUUUGCUGGCCUGCGGUCAGCUCCUCUCAAACGGAUCAGCUUACCAGUAUUUGGUGGCGUCACGGGUGUGAUAAUUAUCUACACUUGUGGUUGUCUGCUGAGUAACCUUUGGCGACAGGGGUUUGCUGGAGCUUAUAAAUGUCUCUCCCCAGCGAAGACAGCUUUUUGACC